UUACUAACAGGUAACGCUGAGGACUCUGGCGGAACUGCCCGGUGACAAACCGGGAGGAAGGUGGGGAUGACGUCAAGUCAUCAUGGCCCCCUAUGUCCAGGGCUACACACGUGCUACAAUGGGCGAUACAGAGUGACGCGAAGCCGCGAGGUGGAGCAAAUCGCAGAAAAUCGCUCUCAGUUCGGAUUGGAGUCUGAAACCCGACUCCAUGAAGGUGGAAUCGCUAGUAAUCGCGCAUCAGCAUGGCGCGGUGAAUACGUUCCCGGGCCUU
rnacentral:rRNA from 1 species